GAUGAACGCUAGCUACAGGCUUAACACAUGCAAGUCGAGGGACCGGCGCACGGGUGAGUAACACGUAUCCAACCUGCCCUUUACUCGGGGAUAGCCUUUCGAAAGAAAGAUUAAUACCCGAUAUAAAGGAUGGGGAUGCGUUCCAUGAGGUUGUUGGUGAGGUAACGGCCCACCAAGCCUUCGAUGGAUAGGGGUUCUGAGAGGAAGGUCCACCACAUUGGAACUGAGACACGGUCCAAACUCGUACGGGAGGCAGGAGUGAGGAAUAUUGGUCAAUGGGGGUUAGCCUGAACAAGCCAAGUAGCGUGAAGGAUGAAGGCGUAGGGGUCGUAAACUUCUGUUAUAUAAGAAUAUGUAUUAUAUGAAUAAGGAUCGGCUAACUCCGUGCCAGCAGCCGCGGUAAUUC
rnacentral:rRNA from 1 species